UUAAAUUGAAGAGUUUGAUCAUGGCUCAGAUUGAACGCUGGCGGCAGGCCUAACACAUGCAAGUCGAACGGUAACAGGAAGCAGCUUGCUGCUUUGCUGACGAGUGGCGGACGGGUGAGUAAUGUCUGGGAAACUGCCUGAUGGAGGGGGAUAACUACUGGAAACGGUAGCUAAUACCGCAUAACGUCGCAAGACCAAAGAGGGGGACCUUCGGG
rnacentral:rRNA from 1 species